rnacentral:rRNA from 1 species
UACGUAGGGGGCAAGCGUUGUCCGGAAUCACUGGGCGUAAAGCGCGCGCAGGCGGCUGUCUACGUCCGGGGUGAAAGCCCAGAGCUCAACUCUGGGAUUGCCUUGGAUACGGGAUGGCUUGAGGAUCGGAGAGGCAAGGGGAAUUCCACGUGUAGCGGUGAAAUGCGUAGAGAUCGGAAAGAACACCAACGGCGAAAGCACUCUGCUGGGCCGACACUGACACUGAGAGACGAAAGCUAGGGGAGCGAAUGGG